GUACUUACUUAGCAGGAGAGACACCACAAUCAAGAAGGUGGUUCACCCAGGGUGAGGCUCAGCCAUUGCACUUCCGCUGUUCUGACCCCUGUGAAUUCCCCAAAUGUGGGAAAUCUCGGAUGCAAAAUUUCAUGUACUGGGGACUGUGUUUGUGCUCUCCUUU